rnacentral:antisense_RNA from 1 species
GAUGCAUUUCGGAUUUCAAGGGAGUAUACAUUUCUGGAGCGACUUAUGCUGACAUUUGAAGAAAUAGAAAUCUAAGACAAAGGAAAAAGAAAAGAAAUGUUGAAGUUCUUCAGAUGUGGAAGACAUGGUGAGGAUUCCUUCAUCUCUGUGACUGGCUUGCUUGAUGGUUAGGGUCUGAUCGCUGCCUGAGACACCAUAUCGGUACUCCUCAGAGUUGAUGCAGAGUGUUCAUAUGAGGAGAGACUUUCCCUUGUCUCUGUCAUCUGUGAUUUCACUUCCCUGACAGAAGACGAAGCUUCCAUCUCAGAUGUUUUCUUAAAUGAUGAAACAGCAUACGCCUCUGUUCUUGUCAGCUCAGGGAAAACAGAUCUGGGGACCUCUUCAUCUCUGCGUUGGGAAGCAUAGGUGGUAUAAUCCCCUCCUGUCACGUCCAACGUUGCAUAGUCAGAAGCUUCGCCCUUGU